AAUGGACGGAAGUCUGAACCAGCCAUCCCGCGUGCAGGAAGAAGGAUCUUUGGUCUGUAAACUGCUUUUCUCAAGGAAGAGAGAUAGAGAUUAAUCUUUAGAGGACGGUACUUGAGGAAUAAGCACCGGCUAACUCCGUGCCAGCAGCCGCGGUAAUACGGAGGGUGCAAGCGUUAUCCGGAUUUACUGGGUUUAAAGGGUCCGUAGGUGGUUUGAUAAGUCAGUGGUGAAAUUACCGAGCUUAACUUGGGAGCUGCCAUUGAUACUGUUAGACUUGAGUGCAGAUGAGGUUGGCGGAAUGGGGCAUGUAGCGGUGAAAUGCAUAGAUAUGUCGUAGAACACCGAUUGCGAAGGCAGCUAACUGGGCUUAAAUUGACGCUGAGGCACGAAAGCGUGGGGAUCGAA
rnacentral:rRNA from 1 species